GUGGGGAAUCUUCCGCAAUGGACGAAAGUCUGACGGAGCAACGCCGCGUGAGUGAUGAAGGCCUUCGGGUCGUAAAGCUCUGUCGUCGGGGACGAACGGCCGCCUCAGGGAAUGGGGGCGGAGUGACGGUACCCGAGAAGGAAGCCACGGCUAACUACGUGCCAGCAGCCGCGGUAAUACGUAGGUGGCAAGCGUUGUCCGGAAUUAUUGGGCGUAAAGCGCGCGCAGGUGGGAUUUUAAGUCCAUUUUGAAAGUUCGGAGCUUAACUCCGUGAUGGGAUGGAAACUGGGAUUCUUGAGUACCGGAGAGGAAAGCGGAAUUCCCCGUGUAGCGGUGAAAUGCGUAGAUAUGGGGAGGAACACCAGUGGCGAAGGCGGCUUUCUGGACGGUGUCUGACACUGAGGCGCGAAAGCCAGGGGAGCGAACGGGAUUAGAAACCCUUGUAGUCC
rnacentral:rRNA from 1 species